rnacentral:rRNA from 1 species
CCUACGGGAGGCAGCAGUGGGGGAUAUUGCACAAUGGGGGAAACCCUGAUGCAGCGACGCCGCGUGAGUGAAGAAUUCUUUCGGUAUGUAAAGCUCUAUCAGCAGGGAAGAAAAUGACAGUACCUGACCAAGAAGCCCCGGCUAACUACGUUCCAGCAGCCGCGGUAAUACGUAGGGGGCAAGCGUUAUCCGGAUUUACUGGGUGUAAAGGGAGCGUAGACGGUUAUGUAAGUCUGUAGUGAAAGCCCGGGGCUCAACCCCGGGCCUGCUUUGGAAACUGUGUAACUGGAGUACAGGAGGGGCAGGCGGAAUUCCUGGUGUAGCGGUGAAAUGCGUAGAUAUCAGGAGGAACACCGGCGGCGAAGGCGGCCUGCUGGACUGAAACUGACGUUGAGGCUCGAAAGCGUGGGUAGCAAACAGGAGUAGAUACCCCAGUAGUC